UCCCAGACUCCUACGGGAGGCAGCAGUCGGGAAUAUUGCGCAAUGGAGGAAACUCUGACGCAGUGACGCCGCGUAUAGGAAGAAGGUUUUCGGAUUGUAAACUAUUGUCGUGAGGGAAGAAAUUGACAGUACCUCAGGAGGAAGCUCCGGCUAACUAUGUGCCAGCAGCCGCGGUAAUACAUAGGGAGCAAGCGUUAUCCGGAUUUAUUGGGUGUAAAGGGUGCGUAGACGGGAAAUUAAGUUAGUUGUGAAAGUCCGCGGCUCAACCGUGGAAUUGCAGUUGAAACUGGAGGCCUUGAGUGCACACAGGGAUGCCGGAAUUCAUGGUGUAGCGGUGAAAUGCUUAGAUAUCAUGAAGAACUCCGAUCGCGAAGGCAAGUGUCCGGGGUGCAACUGACGCUGAGGCUCGAAAGUGCGGGUACCAAACAGGAUUAGAUACCCUAGUAAG
rnacentral:rRNA from 1 species